rnacentral:lncRNA from 1 species
AUACAAAAUAAAGAUCAUGUGCCCAUGGCUGGUUAGCCAUUUUUAGUCAUCCCCCACUCACCACCAUCACUGCUGAUUCUACAUCAGAGAGGAGGAGCCUCCAAAGCCCAGGUCCUUUAUCCUCUGUCUCCAGAAAGUACGUAAUGACAGGAAGUCAGUGGGCUCUUGGGAUAUGUAGUUCUUUUAUUAGGGUAAAAGAUUUUUAAUCAUACACCUGCCCCAGUCCUCUCUUGGGGAAGAGGAUCUCUUUGUAUUUUUCCUAAAGCCGCUGACUCUCCCAUCUGGGUUCCGGAGCAGCUUGUCUGACUUCACCAUGACUCUAACCCCCAGCUGCUGCAAUCACCUUGUUUGAUUUCUCUUCACAAAAUAUAAAAGCUCCCUGAGGAAGCUAUGGAUCUCAUUGAAGAUUCUGCAUAGAAUUCUGGGAUCUGAUGAUAUCACCACCGUGUCACCUAUGAACAAGAGGAUCUGGAGGACUUCAUUUAAGAAUCCAUUUUCCAUUCAAACUUUCCUUGAGAUAUCCUUCCUGGUGAGUAUAUGCUUCUCUGUUUGAUGCUUUAUAUAUAUAAUGAUCCUAAUAAGUGUAUGGGAAAUGAGCCGUGCUCCAGAUUACACAUUUAAGUAAGUAUUUGCCAGACAUUAUAGUAAAGGUUGAGCAUACAAAGAUAAAAGUAAAACAGAUCCUAUUCUCAAAGAAUGUAAAUCCUAUUGGGGGAAAUACUACUGAAGCAAAUAAAUUGAUACAAAAUGUAUAGAAAAUAAUUUCA